rnacentral:rRNA from 1 species
GACGAACGCUGGCGGCGUGCUUAACACAUGCAAGUCGAACGGAAAGGCCCUGCUUUUGUGGGGUGCUCGAGUGGCGAACGGGUGAGUAACACGUGAGUAACCUGCCCUUGACUUUGGGAUAACUUCAGGAAACUGGGGCUAAUACCGGAUAGGAGCUCCUGCUGCAUGGUGGGGGUUGGAAAGUUUCGGCGGUUGGGGAUGGACUCGCGGCUUAUCAGCUUGUUGGUGGGGUAGUGGCUUACCAAGGCUUUGACGGGUAGCCGGCCUGAGAGGGUGACCGGCCAAAUGGGGACGGGGAUACGGCCCAGAUUCCUAGGGGGGGCAGAAGUGGGGAAUAUUGAACAAGGGGCGGAAGCCUGAUGAAGAAACGCCGCGUGGGGGAGGACGGCCUUCGGGUUGUAACCCGCUUUCGCCGGUGACGAGGCGUGGGGGAGGGUAAUGGGUAAAGAAGCACCGGCUAACUACGU